CAGUAGCCGCGGUAAUACAGAGGGUGCGAGCGUUAAUCGGAAUUACUGGGCGUAAAGCGCGCGUAGGUGGUUUGUUAAGUUGGAUGUGAAAUCCCCGGGCUCAACCUGGGAACUGCAUCCAAAACUGGCAAGCUAGAGUAUGGUAGAGGGUGGUGGAAUUUCCUGUGUAGCGGUGAAAUGCGUAGAUAUAGGAAGGAACACCAGUGGCGAAGGCGACCACCUGGACUGAUACUGACACUGAGGUGCGAAAGCGUGGGGAGCAAACAGGAUUAGAUACCCCAGUAGUCCCUGUCUCUUAUAC
rnacentral:rRNA from 1 species